rnacentral:hammerhead_ribozyme from 1 species
AUCUAGCUGGAGAGUCUCGAAUAGGACGAAACGCGCAUCCUGAAU